UUAUUUUGUUCCCUAAUUGCUUUAACCAUGAACAUGAGUAGCUAGAUCUUUUGGAUCCAUUAGGGUUCACCUUUGUUGAUGGAUUAUGAUUAAUUGUUAGUUUUUAUAAUUGUCAUUCUUGCAAUCUUCUUGCUAUUCAGUAAUAAAAGUUUGAUUCAGUUAAUUUGAGACGUUGGAUUAAUUGUUUAUUAGGUUGUUUCUUGACAUUGAGAAAUGCUUGUUACAAC
rnacentral:lncRNA from 1 species